rnacentral:lncRNA from 1 species
UAUUGUGGAACUUUGCAUUGUGUAUUUCUUUUAAUUCAACUGAACCAUGCUUUUAAUACCAAUCUAACACGAAAAUGGAAGCAUCAAUCAAAGUAUAUAUGACAUUUCAAACAACUGCAACUUAUAUAAGAAAAAGUUCCUAAAACUUGGUGGUUUGAAUGGUCAAAAUACACAAAAGUGUUUAGAAAGCCAAUUUCAUGUUUCGAGCAACUUUGCUUUAUGAUUUGUGACUUNUACAAGCUGCCAAAAGAGGCUGAAUGCUCUUUAAUCAGAAUUUGGCUAGUCUAGUUGCCUUUUCACACUAAAUUGUGACCAAAUCAACAACCAAAUUUCAGCAAAGGAGUCAAAUGUGUUUGGAUCAUUAAUAUGACACUUUGAGCAAAUUUAAUUUUCCAAAUAUAACAAGUACAAAUGGCCAACAGAAGCUACAAAUUGCCAGAUCAAGAUUUCACCAUAUGAGUUGCUUAUCUCAUUCAAAAUUGAUCCAUACACUAACCAAAAUUCANCAGAGAGUUCAAACAGUUCUGAAAAAAGUUUUUUUUUUGUGACUUUAGACAGCAGAGUACACUUGAACAAGACACUGGGAAUGAUUGAUUUUAAAGAGGUCCAGACAUGAGUUCUAAACUGGACAGAUUCAGAAACAAAAGAAAUUAUGCAGACUCAAGCAAGGACACUGUAGUUCGGUCAAUAUGCAUAGCUGAAGAUCAUUUGGAUUUCCAGUGAUGCUACCAAGCUAAUUGCUUAAGCAUUUCAUGGUUUUUGUGGUAUGCAUCCUGUACUGUUCCAUUCAGCCACUGGACUAUAACUUAGAAUCAAAUUUCACUCUUAAAUUUUGCAAAAAUUCAAUCAAUACUGCAUAUCAUUUGAAGGAAUGGAAAUGAGGUGAUUAUUCACACACCCGAGCUCCAACUAAUUUGGUCAUUGCUCCAUUGGUGUGCAGAUUCAACACUCACUUCAGAAUUAUGCAGCAGAAAUUCAAAAUCGCAGAAUCACCAGAAUUAAACAAUGAAAGCAAUUAAACAUGACUAGACAAA